rnacentral:rRNA from 1 species
CCUACGGGAGGCAGCAGUGAGGAAUAUUGGUCAAUGGGCGAGAGCCUGAACCAGCCAAGUCGCGUGAGGGAGUACUGCCCUAUGGGUUGUAAACCUCUUUUGUCGGGGAGCAAAAGCCGGACGUGUCCGGCUGUGAGAGUACCCGAAGAAAAAGCAUCGGCUAACUCCGUGCCAGCAGCCGCGGUAAUACGGAGGAUGCGAGCGUUAUCCGGAUUUAUUGGGGUUAAAGGGUGCGCAGGCGGAUUUUUAAGUCAGCGGUCAAAUCGUGGGGCUCAACCCCAUCCAGCCGUUGAAACUGGGGAUCUAGAGUGUGCGAGAGGUAUGCGGAAUGCGUGGUGUAGCGGUGAAAUGCAUAGAUAUCACGCAGAACCCCGAUGGCGAAGGCAGCAUACCGGUGCACAACUGACGCUCAGGCACGAAAGCGUGGGUAUCGAACAGGAUUAGAUACCCUUGUAGUC